rnacentral:rRNA from 1 species
GUAGGUGGCAAGCGUUGUCCGGAAUUAUUGGGCGUAAAGCGCGCGCAGGUGGUUCGUUUAAGUCUGAUGUGAAAGACCCCCGGGCUCAACCGGGGAGGGUCAUUGGAAACUGGGGAACUUGAGUGCAGGAGAGGAAAGUGGAAUUCCACGUGUAGCGGUGAAAUGCGUAGAUAUGUGGAGGAACACCAGUGGCGAAGGCGACUUUCUGGCCUGUAACUGACACUGAGGCGCGAAAGCGUGGGGAGCAAACAGGAUUAGAUACCCUGGUAGUCCACGCCGUAAACGAUGAGUGCUAAGUGUUGGGGGGGUUUCCGCCCCUCAGUGCUGCAGCUAACGCAUUAAGCACUCCGCCUGGGGAGUACGGUCGCAAAGACUG